AUCAUGAACCAAAAGUGAUUUCAAAGAGUUCAAAUGCUUCUAAGUUUUCACAUAACAGAAUUUCCAAACCCAAUCUGUUAUAAAAAUCUUCAUUUUCAAAACCCCACUUUAAAUAUAUAUUCACCUAUGAGAAAAAUUAUGGAGUAAAAAGGGACAGAAUAUGCCAAUUAUUUGAGAAAAAUUAAUUUUGGAAGGAGAACAAGGCAAAGUUGCAAAGAGAAGAAGAUUGAGUGUUGUCACCGGAGAGGAAGAUGAAAAGAGACUAGAAAGAGAGAUCAUUAAAUUAAUUAAAUUAAAUAAAAGAUGCCACAUCAUUCGUGAUUUGCUUC
rnacentral:lncRNA from 1 species